GUUCCUACCUGUCCCCCAGGACCCAGUGAAGAGCGACUGGGUUCAGCCGCAGCAGGAAACGCAGAUUUCUCCUCCUGCAACAGCUGGGUGGGACAGAAACAGGACUCGUGUCCCCGGGGCUGGGCUGCUGCGCAGGUGCCUCUGGUUUCUGCCCAUCAGCUUGGUCCCCAUCGUGCCGACGCGGUUGAGAACAUACACCGUGGGCAGGGCUGCCCUGGGAUCUGACAGCGCAGCAGGGCUUUGCCUCUCCUGACCCGAACUCUCCCUCAGAGGAGAUAGCGUGGGGCAGCUCAUUCCGGCCAGCUGACACCUGGCCCCACGCCUUCGUGCCCCCAAUUCUGGCUCUCUGCUCUCAGCUCAGCCAGAAUAAGGACACGGAGAAAUGGACAGAGGGAUGGUGGCAGGGGCCAGACCUUGAGCACUCCUCUGAGAGAACCGACCUUCGAACUUUACCACAGGAGCUUUGGAACUUCACAGGAGUGCCAGGCUUCUCCCCUUUGGCUGUGCUCUGGAACUGUGGAACCUGUUGGCCGUCCCUGGGCACAGGUAUAAGGACUUGAUUACUGAUGAAGACCUGAGUGAGCUUCAACAUAUGGGCCCUUUUCAGGGAGUAGGAUUUCCUCACAGAAGACUUAGAGCAUGGAAGCCUGGGCCCAGGAGGGAAGCAGGCUGGCGAGGGGAGAGUGGACAGCAGGCUUUGUUCCUCUGCCCUUUCCUUAAGCUCCUGGGUCCGUGCUCCUGGACCUUGCUGAUUACUGCAGGUGAGAGACUCUGCUAUUUCUUGGUGUCAGACCUUUUAUGCCACUUAUAGAAUUGCAGGGGAAACUGAGGUUCAGGACGGCUUCAAGGUGGCCUGGAGGGAGGUCCCUAGAGUUCCUGUGAGGAAAGUGUGAUGUACAUCUUGGGGGAGGACACUCUUCUGUCUUCCACCCUGCUUCUUCCACAGGCUGGGACUCUGGUGCUCUGUCCUCAGGUAAACAGCUCCUAGCUCACUGUCUCUGGGACUGAAAACAGCUGCAGCCAGGGUCUGAGUCUCCAAAGCCAAGAACCACUCCUGCUUGGGGCCUUGUGGUGUCUUGGAACCAGAAGACCUGGCCCCAGCUUUCCAGGACCAGGU